GACGUAGGGCGCGAGCGUUGUCCGGAUUUAUUGGGCGUAAAGAGCUCGUAGGCGGCUCGUUGCGUCGGCUGUGAAAACCCGCAGCUCAACUGUGGGCUUGCAGCCGAUACGGGCGGGCUGGGAUUCGGUAGGGGAGACUGGAAUUCCUGGUGUAGCGGUGAAAUGCGCAGAUAUCGGGAGGAAUACCUAUGGCGAAAGCAGGCUACUGGACCAUCACUGACGCUGAUCUGCGAAAGCUAGGGGAGCAAACAGG
rnacentral:rRNA from 1 species